rnacentral:misc_RNA from 1 species
UACCUUUCACUUUGUCAGGGAUCAUAUGGGUGUGUCAUGGUCACCAGAUUCAUUCACCUUUUAUGGAUACUGCAAUAUGGGUUGUGUGUUCUAAUUCGCGGAAUGUUUGCGUCCCAAAUCGCUAAGAGAAUAGAUCUCAGACAUUAAAAUUGGGGUUCUACCAAGAAAGUAAAGGAGGAAAGAAAAAAAGGAGAAGACAGAGAAGGGUAGACAUAGGUGAAUAAAUCAGCAGCCAUAUGCACGAGAAGAGAAAGUAGCAGCAGAAGUAGUGAUGCAAUGAGAAGAAAUAAAAGUCAUGGGCUGGUGCAAGAGAAAGAAGAAAGGGCGUUAGAGACAAAAUGGGGCUCUUGUAACUUUUUCCUUUCUGUCGCUAUGUGAAAGAUUGGUCUUUCCGCUUUUAAUUCCUCUUUUAAUGGGUAGGUAGGACUUUGGAUUUUGAGAAAGUUUUAAUAUAUAAUAAAUAUUGUUGACUAAUUUUUUAUUUCAAAGGGAAGGGCG